GAUGAAUGCUGGCGGCGUGCCUAACACAUGCAAGUCGAGCGGUAACAGGUCUAGUUUACUAGAUGCUGACGAGCGGCGGACGGCUGAGUAACGCGUAGGAACGUGCCCCAAAGUGAGGAAUAACUGCCCGAAAGGGUGGCUAAUGCCGCAUAUGAUCUUCUGAUUAAAGUCUUCGGACGCUUUGGGAGCGGCCUGCGUUA
rnacentral:rRNA from 1 species